AUCACCUGGGAAUCUUGUUAAAAUGCAGAUGCUGUAGCAGAAGGUCUGCGGAGGACCUGAUAUUUUGCAUUUCUAACAAGGUUCCAGGUGAUGCCUA
rnacentral:pre_miRNA from 1 species